rnacentral:rRNA from 1 species
UACGUAGGGUCCGAGCGUUGUCCGGAAUUAUUGGGCGUAAAGGGCUCGUAGGCGGUCCGUCACGUCGGGAGUGAAAACUCAGGGCUCAACCCUGAGCGUGCUUCCGAUACGGGCGGACUAGAGGUAUGCAGGGGAGAACGGAAUUCCUGGUGUAGCGGUGGAAUGCGCAGAUAUCAGGAGGAACACCGGUGGCGAAGGCGGGUCUCUGGGCCGUAACUGACGCUGAGGAGCGAAAGCAUGGGGAGCGAACAGG